AAUUAAUGAACUUGAAUAAGUGUAUGUUUUGAAAACAUAAUAUAUAUAUAUAAUAUUUUUUUUUAAUWC
rnacentral:tRNA from 1 species